CAAUGUUCUUAACGGGUCCAUUAAAGCAACUCAAGAGGAUGUGCGACAAGACGAGAGCUCUGGCAACUGGCAUUAUGAUUACAUGCCUGGUGCUAACCUUCUGUGCUGCUUUUUGGUGGAAGAACAAAGGCCUUGCUCUGCUGUUCUGUAUCCUCCAGUUUUGGCCUUUACAUGGUAAGAUACCAGCCAUAGUUACGUUCUUUAUAAAUGACUGUAUAAA